GUAUAAAAAAAGACCGAACACUAUUCCAGGUAUUCGGUCCAGGGAAAGGGCUCUCAAGGAGCCGUGCGCUAAAAGUUGGCAUUCGUUCAGGCUUUCGCCUUGCCUGUAAAGCGUAGGCCAAGACAGGAGAUUUUCCAGCCA
rnacentral:sRNA from 3 species